GCUGUGUACUACUGUGCUGUGAGGCCCACAGUGACAGGAAACACCAAAACUCUGUACACUUUUGGUGGAGGAACCAGACUGGAUGUUGGAAGUGUUGUCCGUCCCACCCUGACGGUGCUGCCCCCCUCCAGCGAGGAGCUGCAGCAGGGGAAGGCCACGCUCAUAUGUCUGGCCAACAAGGGCUUCCCCUCAGACUGGAGUCUGGCCUGGAAGGUGGACGGCAGCAGCAGCAGCAGCAGUGGGGAGGAGAGCAGGAGCCCCGGGGUGCUGCAGAAGGACGGCCGCUACAGCUGGAGCAGCACCCUGAGGCUCCCUGCAGACCAGUGGAGGAAGGUGGGCUCUGUGACCUGUGAGGCCACCCAGGGCUCCCAGACUCCAGUCUCAGAGACACUGAGGAGAGACCAGUGUUCCCAGUCCUGACCUGACUCACUGGGACUCUGCUACUGGUUUUACUCUGCUACUGCUCUCACUCUGAUCUCUAAUCAGAACAGUGUAACAUUGUGUAACUUCAAA